rnacentral:rRNA from 1 species
ACCUACUGCCAAAUCACCUCGAAUGUGCCCCAUCGUGUCAACUCUUGGAAGCUGAGCAGAGUUUGCGUCUCGUUAAUACUUGGAUGGGAGACUGCCGUGGAAUACCAGGGGUGUUGUAGGCU